rnacentral:rRNA from 1 species
UGGGUAACCUGCCUCAAAGAGGGGAAUAGCCUUCCGAAAGGAAGAUUAAUACCGCAUAAUAUGUUUUGGUCGCAUGAUCGAAACAUCAAAGGAGUAAUCCGCUUUGAGAUGGACCCGCGGCGCAUUAGCUAGUUGGUGGGGUAACGGCUCACCAAGGCGACGAUGCGUAGCCGACCUGAGAGGGUGAUCGGCCACAUUGGAACUGAGACACGGUCCAGACUCCUACGGGAGGNAG